ensembl:lncRNA
GGAUAGAGAGAGAGAGAGAGAGAGAAUGGAAGAGAGUUGGACAGAGUGCUGCUGAGAGGAGGGCAGUGCAUCAUGUUGCUGUGAUGUGAGCAGGGACGCAGGAAGGAGGAGAGGGACCAAAACAAGAGAAGCAGAGAGGGAAUAAACUGAGGACGGAGCUGGACUACAUACCUAGUCUGAGGUAGCCAGAUUAGCAGUGACUCAGAGCUUUUGGAAUAUUAACCACCAGAGAAUAUGGCUUUGCACCACUGUUUGCCUGCAUAGUGCAUAUUCAUGUGAGUUUAUGAGUGCCACCGAGGGACUGAAGGGAGAAGGAAUUCAACCUUAUUAUAAGAGAGUCUCUCAGUGCCUCCCCUCCUCAAAGACUUGAAGCAGAGGAGCACAGAGGGGGACAAGGUGGUAAGGGGGCUAGGGGGAACCCCACUGCACCAAGAACACCUAGGACAAAGUGAGUGGAACCACAGCUAGACCCAGGGCUUGACAAACGCUAACAAUGAUGUAAUGGUGAAGGUGGACACCAGCUCUCCAGGGUUUUCAGGCCUCUGAGCCAGUUGCCCAGGUGAUGGGGAGACGGGCGGCUGACCUGACCACUGCCGUGCCAGUACUAGGAGUUCCCGCCCUGGUGGGGGUACGUGAUUGGAGGACAGUAGGAGGGGAAAGGGCCGGGGAAGUGCUGCCCCUGACAUGGGGUCCCCAGUGCAGCAUCGGAGUGCAGACUUCGCCUGGUGUAAGAGCCCCUCCCAUCCUGCAGGGCACGCAACUAAUUGGCACAUUCCCUGUCCAAUCAGACAGCAGGAUUACUCCCAAAUCCAAUGGCUACAUCCCCAAGGAGCCAAAGGAAGAGGAAGGAAUCAGACAGACUAAGAGUGUCAGAGAAAGAGUGGUUAUUGCAAAACAGAGGAGUUUAGAUUCCAAGAUCAAACAGGGUGUGACUUUUGAAGGGAUUUCCAGUAAGCUCACAAAGAAUGUGUUCUUCAACCAACGGAAAAGUGUGACUUAUUGCUAUGCCCGGGCAAUCAAGACUAACCCACACUUAUCAGGGGGCAUGGGGAAUAGCAAGCUCAAAGGGAGGCGGGACAUGCGCUACACCAAUGGCAGUGUAGUUGACUCUGAGGCUAUAGGAGGGAUUUGUAUUGACGGCAGUGAUGAGGCGGAGCCUGUCUCAACCAUGUCCUCUAGAGAAGGGGACCAAUCAAAACCUAAAGAGCAUUCUGUGGCAUAUUCAUAUUGUGGGAAUACAAAACGACCACGAGCUCCCCCACCUCUCCAAAUGCCCCAGCGGAUCUGCAGCCACUGUGGAGGGAGACAGACUGUGGUCCCAGGAGCUGGAGCUGCCAGUCUGGGAGAUAAGAGCCCUUCCUAUGCAUGCCCUGAAGGAACAGCAGCCAUGAAAGCACCUCCUUCACUCACAGACAGAAACAACCUUCCCCUUUCACAUACUGAGAAAGAGAGAGACUCUGCGUUCUCUCCUCUGAGGCUUGCAGACAGGGAUCGGAUACAAAGCCAGUGGACACACACAGACUCUCUACCCCCCCACCCCCACUGUAAUCCCCCUAUUCAGAACAACAAAGACAGGAAACCCAAUCUGCCUGAAAGCCCAGCGCCUGCAUGGCAGAACAGAGAUCUGAAACAGACUAAUGGUUAUGCCUCCCAUCCCACAUACCCCCUGCAUACCUCUAUCCGAGACCCAGUAGAAACCGCAGACACACCUUCACAAAAACACUCAGACAAGGCAGCCAGCCUCACAAGCAUCUUACACACAGCGACGGCGACAGUCACCAAGGCGACUAUUGAACCCAGGCGUACAGAUGCCAACUUCCUUGAGACCCCAUCUCACUUGAGUAAGAUUCCUCGACCAACACCGCUCACACUUUCUCCCCAAAUCGCCGUGGCCACAAGGCCAAACACGCCACGCACACACCGUAAGCAUCCGAAGACACUCACACAUCCAAACACACAACCCAAACCCUCAAUCACAUCUAGUCACCCUUACCCUGUAAACCCACCACACAGAACCUCUCCUCCAAACCAUGUAAACCCACCACACAGAACCUCUCCUCCAAACCAUGUAAACCCACCACACAGAAC